UACUCUGACAAAACAGGAGAUGACUGGAUAAAGAUAUCACACAUUCCUCGAGUUGACAUAUCUGACAAAUAUUAUUAAUCUGCUCAGAUGAUACUCCAUUGAUGGCUCAAAAUGAAGCUACAGCAGAAGACAUUGAGGGAUCAACCGCUACGUCAACUUUUCACUUGGGUUCAUGUAAAAUUUCAAAUAAUUGUAAAUAUGGUUGAAGAGGCACAUCCACUUGCUUUGUUCAAAAUCAUUUGUUGAAAGCGUAUGUACCCUUACAAAUUUCCAGAUUGAAUUUCAAGUGAUUACACAACCAGUCUUUAUUUCUUCAAAUUAUUAUUGUCCUAUUGUAUGUAAGUUUGUGUAGAUUUAAUAAAAAAGAAAGUUUGUACUUCGUGCUUAUCUAUAUAUUGUAUUAUUGACAAUCUA